rnacentral:misc_RNA from 1 species
UGGAUUUGAGCACCAAGACUUCAAAAUCAAUUAUCCUGAUGAAAUAUCCUCAUGGAUUUCAAUCCAAGGCUCAAGAAAUCUCUAAAAUUUUUAAGAAUUCAAAUCCCAAUGUUUCCUAUUCAAGUCCUAGUGAAAAACCCAAAAUUUGCCCAAUGAUCAUAUCUGCAAAAUCCCAAAACUUCCAUCUUCUUGUGAUCCAGAAUUCUGAUUUUACCAGCAGAGAUUUUUAUUUCUUUUGGUUCUUUAAGAAUACCAAAACAAGAAUCUGAUUUUGUCUGUUAAAACUACAAACUUUCUCUCAUCAUUUCCUCUUUUUUUGCGGCUUUUUGUUUCCUUCUGAAAUUUGGAUGAUUGUAGCUUGAUUGAAAGUGUCUUGUGUUGUGGAAUUUUGAUUAAACUUGAAGAAUUAACGUUGAAUUUAGUGGUUUCUUGAGAGAAGUCGUUUCUUAGAUUUUGAACAGUGAAGAGUCAGAGUGGAGGGAGUUUUUGAGUUUUCUUUAAGUUUAGAACAAAGAACAAAAAACAAAAUUAAAAGAAAUAGAACAUCCCUAAAUAAAGCAAUCACUUUCUCAUAGA